rnacentral:sRNA from 1 species
AAAUUGCUUUCUGCUUGCAGAAAAAGUAAUUUCUUGUCCAGAGACACAAACCACAUGAGCAAGGAGCGCAAUAGCGCGGAGUGCGAAUGGGGCAACUUGCGGGAGUGCGCAGCACGAAGCAAGUUGA